CGGGGGGCUGCACCAGUGGGGAAUAUUGCACAAUGGAGGAAACUCUGAUGCAGCAACGCCGCGUGGAGGAUGACACUUUUCGGAGCGUAAACUCCUUUUAUAUAGGAAGAAGAUGACGGUACUAUAUGAAUAAGCGCCGGCUAACUCCGUGCCAGCAGCCGCGGUAAUACGGAGGGCGCAAGCGUUACUCGGAAUCACUGGGCGUAAAGAGCGUGUAGGCGGAUUAAAAAGUCAGAAGUGAAAUCCUAUAGCUUAACUAUAGAACUGCUUCUGAAACUCUUAAUCUAGAAUAUGGGAGAGGUAGAUGGAGUUUCUGGUGUAGGGGUAAGAUCCGUAGAGAUCAGAAGGAAUACCGAUUGCGAAGGCGAUCUACUAGAACAUUAUUGACGCUGAGACGCGAAAGCGUGGGGAGCAAACAGGAUUAGAUACCCCUGUAGUC
rnacentral:rRNA from 1 species